GAUGAACGCUGGCGGCGUGCCUAAUACAUGCGAGUCGAGCGAACGGACGAGAAGCUUGCUUCUCUGAUGUUAGCGGCGGACGGGUGAGUAACACGUGGAUAACCUACCUAUAAGACUGGGAUAACUUCGGGAAACCGGAGCUAAUACCGGAUAAUAUUUUGAACCGCAUGGUUCAAAAGUGAAAGACGGUCUUGCUGUCACUUAUAGAUGGAUCCGCGCUGCAUUAGCUAGUUGGUAAGGUAACGGCUUACCAAGGCAACGAUGCAUAGCCGACCUGAGAGGGUGAUCGGCCACACUGGAACUGAGACACGGUCCAGACUCCUACGGGAGGCAGCAGUAGGGAAUCUUCCGCAAUGGGCGAAAGCCUGACGGAGCAACGCCGCGUGAGUGAUGAAGGUCUUCGGAUCGUAAAACUCUGUUAUUAGGGAAGAACAUAUGUGUAAGUAACUGCGCACAUCUUGACGGUACCUAAUCAGAAAGCCACGGCUAACUACGUG
rnacentral:rRNA from 1 species